CAGGCUGCAACUCGCCUGCAUGAAGUUGGAAUUGCUAGUAAUCGCGAAUCAGAAUGUCGCGGUGAAUACGUUCCCGGGCUUUGUACACACCGCCCGUCACACCAUGAGAGCCGAUAACACCCGAAGCCUGUGAGCUAACCGUAAGGGGGCAGCAGUCGAAGGUGGGGUUGGUGAUUGGGGUGAAGUCGUAACAAGGUAUC
rnacentral:rRNA from 1 species